GAUGAACGCUGGCGGCGUGCCUAAUACAUGCAAGUCGAGCGAACGGACGCGAAGCUUGCUUCUCUGAUGUUAGCGGCGGACGGGUGAGUAACACGUGUAUAACCUACCUAUAAGACUGGUAAAACUUCGGGAAACCGGAGCUAAUACCGUAUAAUAUUUUGCACCGCAUGGUUCAAAAGUGAAAGACGGUCUUGCUGUCACUUAUAGAUGGAUCCGCGCUGCAUUAGCUAGUUGGUAAGGUAACGGCUUACCAAGGCAACGAUGCAUAGCCGACCUGAGAGGGUGAUCGGCCACACUGGAACUGAGACACGGUCCAGACUCCUACGGGAGGCAGCAGUAGGGAAUCUUCCGCAAUGGGCGAAAGCCUGACGGAGCAACGCCGCGUGAGUGAUGAAGGUCUUCGGAUCGUAAAACUCUGUUAUUAGGGAAGAACAUAUGUGUAAGUAACUGUGCACAUCUUGACGGUACCUAAUCAGAAAGCCACGGCUAACUACGUG
rnacentral:rRNA from 1 species